rnacentral:rRNA from 1 species
GACGAACGCUGGCGGCGUGCUUAACACAUGCAAGUCGAACGAAGUGGCGAACGGGUGAGUAACGCGUAAUCAACCUGCCCUUCAGAGGGGGACAACAGUUGGAAACGACUGCUAAUCCCGCAUACUGAAGGAGGGGAUUGCGGUUGAUUAGCUAGUUGGAGGGGUAACGGCCCACCAAGGCGAGGAUCAGUAGCCGGUCUGAGAGGAUGAACGGCCACAUUGGUACUGAGACACGGCCCAGACUCCUACGGGAGGCAGCAGUGGGGAAUCGUCCGCAAUGGACGAAAGUCUGACGGAGCAACGCCGCGUGAGUGAUGACGGCCUUCGGGUUGUAAAGCUCUGUUAAUCGGGACGCGGUACCGGAAUAGAAAGCCACGGCUAACUACGUGCCAGCCGCCGCGGUAAUUC